rnacentral:piRNA from 1 species
UGAAGGAGAGAACCUCAAAUUGCCUGUC